GAUGAACGCUGGCGGCGUGCCUAAUACAUGCAAGUCGAGCGAACGGACGAGAAGCUUGCUUCUCUGAUGUUAGCGGCGGACGGGUGAGUAACACGUGGAUAACCUACCUAUAAGACUGGGAUAACUUCGGGAAACCGGAGCUAAUACCGGAUAAUAUUUUGAACCGCAUGGUUCAAAAGUGAAAGACGGUCUUGCUGUCACUUAUAGAUGGAUCCGCGCUGCAUUAGCUAGUUGGUAAGGUAACGGCCUACCAAGGCAACGAUGCGUAGCCGAACUGAGAGGGUGAUCGGCCACACUGGAACUGAGACACGGUCCAUACUCCUACGGGAGGCAGCAGUAGGGAAUCUUCCGCAAUGGGCGAAAGCCUGACGGAGCAACGCCGCGUGAGUGAUGAAGGUCUUCGGAGCGUAAAACUCUGUUAUUAGGGAAGAACAUAUGUGUAAGGAACUGUGCACAUCUUGACGGUACCUAAUCAGAAAGCCACGGCUAACUACGUG
rnacentral:rRNA from 1 species